AGCAAGGCCGCACCUCUCUCAUCUCUUUCUCUUUUGGACAAAGCUGCAUUUUUCUUCAACAAACAGACGCCUCAUCUCUCUCUUCACGCCUCCCCUUUCCUCUUCUCUCUCUCUCUCUCCCAUUUCGAGUAAAACCCUAACCAUUCUUUAGCCAUAAGCGGUCCUGUCUACACCAUUUCGAUACAAAACGUCUAUAUGUUUGCUUUACCUGAGUUUUCUGCCUUCGACAGAGGAAAGGAAUCAGCCGCACAGUCUUCAUCUCCCUUCCAAUUCCACAUAAAAAUCCUAAUCUUCCUAGUCGAAUUCAGUUUUGGGUUCGCCCAUUUCGGGCAAAUAAUUAACGUUACCCUUGUUUUCUUCUUCAUGGGUCUCUGUCUUCUUUCUGAUUUUCAUUUUCUUUUUCAUUGGGAUUCAAGUACAGAUUUUUGGAUCUCAAAACGAAAUUCAAAAGUUUUCUAAAUCAAUUUGCAGUCCGACAUCGUUUCUUGAAGCAAAAACCCAGCAUUCGGGUAUAUAUAGCAGAUCCUAUGCUUCAUUUUGGAGCGGGGUUUUUUUUAGCAUCUUGGAGCAUUACCAUAUGAAAUACAUUCCCUGCACAUUCUUAAAACUUUAAGAACCCUUAAUUUCUAGAGUUACUCUCUCUGUCUCAGUGGACUUUAGCUGUGGCAGAGAUUUCGGAACUCAUUUGUAUCGAGUUUCAAAUUCAUUCGUAACGAGAGGAGUUAGAUUCGAGGCUCUGACGUCCCCGUUCACUGCACCUACAAGAGGUGAAACAGUUUUGUCCCAUUUGAUUGGCUAAACCUGUGUUCCAGGCUUGUCCAGAGUUCCUUAGUAGUUCUAGAGUGUAUAUUACACUGGCUGCAAUAUCUUUAUAAAGUGAAUUAAGAAGCCAAGAUGUUACCAUAUCAUUGCAUCUACUCCAAGGAUGCAGAUCUGGUGAUGUUGAAUCUGGUGAAAGAUGAGCACUAGGCUAUUCGGACUGAUCUCUCCCAACCUUGGUAACCUCUUCCAUCAAAGAGAUUGUUCACAAGGGAUCCAGGGGAAUCAGAAGAGUGCAGAAAAUAGGCAUGGUUGGAGUCAAUGUUGGUGCUGCCUCAGUUCCAAUUGAAGUUCCAGAAUUGUUGUUUUCAUCGGCCAUUUUGAUAUAGGUGAAGAAAAGAAACUGUAUCAAAUUUGAGAUUUGUGAUUCACUGCUAUGAUACCAUAAAGAAAAGCAAUGAAAAUGUUUUUUAGAAUU